GAUGAACGCUGGCGGCGUGCCUAAUACAUGCAAGUCGAACGAAACUUCUUUAUCACCGAGUGCUUGCACUCACCGAUAAAGAGUUGAGUGGCGAACGGGUGAGUAACACGUGGGCAACCUGCCCAAAAGAGGGGGAUAACACUUGGAAACAGGUGCUAAUACCGCAUAACCAUAGUUACCGCAUGGUAACUAUGUAAAAGGUGGCUAUACUACCGCUUUUGGAUGGGCCCGCGGCGCAUUAGCUAGUUGGUAGGGUAAAGGCUUACCAAGGCAAUGAUGCGUAGCCGAAUUGAGAGGUUGAUCGGCCACAUUGGGACUGAGACACGGCCCAAACUCCUACGGGAGGCAGCAGUAGGGAAUCUUCCACAAUGGGCGAAAGCCUGAUGGAGCAACGCCGCGUGGGUGAAGAAGGUCUUCGGAUCGUAAAACCCUGUUGUUAGAGAAGAAAGUGCGUGAGAGUAACUGUUCACGUUUCGUCGGUAUCUAACCAGAAAGCCACGGCUAACUACGUG
rnacentral:rRNA from 1 species